UACGGGGGGGGGGUAAGCGUUGUUCGGAAUUACUGGGCGUAAAGGGCUCGUAGGCGGCCAACUAAGUCGGAUGUGAAAUCCCCAAGCUUAACUUGGGAACUGCAUCCGAUACUGGAUGGCUUGAAUCCGGGAGAGGGAUGCAGAAUUCCAGGUGUAGCGGUGAAAGUGCGUAGAGAUCGGGAAGAACACCCGUGGCGAAGGCGGCUCUCGUGGUACGUGACUGACGCUGAGGCACGAAAGCGUGGGGAGCAAGCGG
rnacentral:rRNA from 1 species